rnacentral:rRNA from 1 species
GAUGAACGCUGGCGGCGUGCCUAAUACAUGCAAGUCGAGCGAACAGACGAGGAGCUUGCUCCUCUGACGUUAGCGGCGGACGGGUGAGUAACACGUGGAUAACCUGCCUAUAAGACUGGGAUAACUUCGGGAAACCGGAGCUAAUUCCGGAUAAUAUAUUGAACCGCAUGGUUCAAUAGUGAAAGACGGUUUUGCUGUCACUUAUAGAUGGAUCCGCGCCGCAUUAGCUAGUUGGUAAGGUAACGGCUUACCAAGGCAACGAUGCGUAGCCGACCUGAGAGGGUGAUCGGCCACACUGGAACUGAGACACGGUCCAGACUCCUACGGGAGGCAGCAGUAGGGAAUCUUCCGCAAUGGGCGAAAGCUUGACGGAGCAACGCCGCGUGAGUGAUGAAGGUCUUCGGAUCGUAAAACUCUGUUAUUAGGGAAGAACAAAUGUGUAAGUAACUAUGCACGUCUUGACGGUACCUAAUCAGAAAGCCACGGCUAACUACGUG